rnacentral:rRNA from 1 species
ACGUAGGGUGCGAGCGUUGUCCGGAAUUACUGGGCGUAAAGAGCUCGUAGGUGGUUUGUCGCGUCGUCUGUGAAAUUCCGGGGCUUAACUCCGGGCGUGCAGGCGAUACGGGCAUAACUUGAGUGCUGUAGGGGAGACUGGAAUUCCUGGUGUAGCGGUGAAAUGCGCAGAUAUCAGGAGGAACACCGAUGGCGAAGGCAGGUCUCUGGGCAGUAACUGACGCUGAGGAGCGAAAGCAUGGGUAGCGAACAG